GACGAACGCUGGCGGCGUGCUUAACACAUGCAAGUCGAACGGAAAGGCCCCUUCGGGGGUACUCGAGUGGCGAACGGGUGAGUAACACGUACGUAACCUGCCCUUGCCUUCGGGAUAACUUCAGCAAACUGGGGCUAAUACCGAAUAGGAAUGCUUGCUUCAUGGUGGGGGUUGGAAAGCUUCGGCGGGUUUGGAUGGACUCGCGGGUUAUCAGCUUGUUGGGGGGGUAAUGGCUUACCGAGGCCGUGACGCGUAGCCGGCCUGAGGGGGCGACCGGCCACAUUGGGACUGAGGUAAGGCCCAGGUUCCUACUGGAGGCAGCAGUGGGGAAUAUUGCACAAUGGGCGGAAGCCUGAUGCAGCAACGCCGCGGGCGGGAUGACGGUCUUCGGGUUGUAAACCGCAUUCAGCAGGGGCGAAGCUUGUGGUGACGGUACCUGCAGAAGAAGCACCGGCUAACUACGUG
rnacentral:rRNA from 1 species